rnacentral:rRNA from 1 species
UACGUAGGGUGCGAGCGUUACUCGGAAUUACUGGGCGUAAAGCGUGCGUAGGUGGUUUGUUAAGUCUGCUGUGAAAGCCCCGGGCUCAACCUGGGAAUGGCAGUGGAUACUGGCAAGCUAGAGUGCGGUAGAGGGGUGUGGAAUUCCCGGUGUAGCGGUGAAAUGCGUAGAGAUCGGGAGGAACACCAGUGGCGAAGGCGGCACCCUGGACCAGCACUGACACUGAGGCACGAAAGCGUGGGGAGCAAACAGG